GGACUACCGGGGUAUCUAAUCCUGUUUGCUACCCACGCUUUCGAAUCUCAGUGUCAAUAUUAUGCCAGGAAGCUGCCUUCGCCAUCGGUAUUCCUCCAGAUCUCUACGCAUUUCACCGCUACACCUGGAAUUCUACUUCCCUCUCACAUAUUCUAGCACCACCAGUAUCACAUGCAGUUCCCAGGUUAAGCCCGGGGAUUUCACAUGUGACUUAAUGAGCCACCUACACUCGCUUUACGCCCAGUAAUUCCGAUUAACGCUCGCACCCUCUGUAUUACCGCGGCUGCUGGCAC
rnacentral:rRNA from 1 species